GUGAAGUGAAGACAGAGCUGCCCGCGCCGAGUGGGUUCUGGUUGGGUGCGGAGCAGUCAGUCCGUAAAUUGGGAGCAGUGCAGCAUAUGUGGAAAGUUCAUUUCUUUUUCUGUGAAGGCAUGGAACUGUCUGUACCAGAGUUCACCUUGUCUCUAGAAGAAGAGAGGUUGCUGGUGACAGAAGUCAUGAUCUGUCUUCCCUUCUGAAGACACAACCAGCUCCACGAGAUCACCAAGCAAGAUUUAACACGUUCAUGCCUCGGAACCACAAUUCCUGAUUAGAGCCACAAGAAGAAGAAGAAGGUACCUAUCCCAUCCCCCCCUCCAGGCAAAGUGUGCCAGCUAUUAAGUAAUUGUCUCUCAACUCCAUCCACAUUAUUCUGUGCUCCACUUAGUGAUGCUGGGAUUCUAUAAACCACUCUUCUUCCUCUUAGGCAGCUGCUCCCCAUGAGGCUUUGCCAAAGGAGAGUGAAUGCAAGUUUGAAGGAAUAAAAAGGGAUUUGCUC